AACGAACGCUGGCGGCAGGCCUAACACAUGCAAGUCGAACGCUCCAGCAAUGGAGAGUGGCAGACGGGUGAGUAACGCGUGGGAACCUUCCCUAUGGUUCGGAAUAGCCCAGGGAAACUUGGGGUAAUACCGAAUAAGCCCUUCGGGGGAAAGAUUUAUCGCCAUUGGAUGGGCCCGCGUCGGAUUGGCUAGUUGGUGGGGUAACGUCCUACCAAGGCGACGAUCCGUAGCUGGUCGGAGAGGAUGAUCAGCCACACUGGGACUGAGACACGGCCCAGACUCCUACGGGAGGCAGCAGUGGGGAAUAUUGGACAAUGGGCGCAAGUCUGAUCCAGCCAUGCCGCGUGAGUGACGAAGGCCUUAGGGUUGUAAGCUCUUUUGGCGGGGAAGAUAAUGACGGUACCCGCAGAAUAAGCUCCGGCUAACUUCGUGCCAGCCGCCGCAGUAAAAC
rnacentral:rRNA from 1 species